GAUGGUAUAGCUCAAGUGGUAGAGCGCAUACUUACCAUGUACAAGGUCCUGAGUUCAAUCCCCAGUACCGCCU
rnacentral:tRNA from 1 species